UACGGAGGGAGCUAGCGUUGUUCGGAAAUACUGGGCGUAAAGCGCACGUAGGCGGCGCAGCAAGUCAGGGGUGAAAUCCCGGGGCUCAACCCCGGAACUGCCCUUGAAACUGCAGUGCUAGAAUCUUGGAGAGGCGAGUGGAAUUCCGAGUGUAGAGGUGAAAUUCGUAGAUAUUCGGAAGAACACCAGUGGCGAAGGCGGCUCACUGGACUGGUAUUGACGCUGAGGUGCGAAAGCGUGGGGAGCAAACAGG
rnacentral:rRNA from 1 species